AAAUUCCUGAAAUGUGCGACACUCUUGCUAUUUUGAACCUACAUUUUUUCUUUGGGAAUCCCAAUUGCUGUCGGGAUGCCGUGCCUCCUUCGAGUGGAAGGCAGAACGGCCGCUGCGGAAGCCCACCUGGCGUAAGCUAGGCGUCAAAAUGCAGGACCGGCAUUUCGGGGUUCCU
rnacentral:other from 1 species